AAGUAGGCUAUAGAUUACCCUCCGAUUGCUUAACCAGACCGCCCUAACCUAGUGGCGGUUU
rfam:Nostoc sp. NIES-3756 DNA, complete genome.